rnacentral:lncRNA from 1 species
UUGAGCAAAAUGAUAAUAAAACACCUGGUUUUUCAGGUUUGGCAAUACAAAACAAUAACGAUAUUAUUGUGACUUGCGAUGGUCCAAAUUAUCAAAUUACCCUUGCUCAUUUAGAGUUACCAAUCCUUAAGAUAGAACAACUUGGUUAUUAUUUGAUAUAUUAUAUGAGAAGGUAUCUGAUUGAAAUGAAACUAUAAAAGUAAAACUGGUACCAUUAAUUAGAAUGGUUUGAUCAGACUUUGUAAGAUGAUUUGACCAUUUACCUUAUAUUUUGCCAAGAAGAUAUAAAUUUAUAUAUGAACUUCAAUACGAGAGCUCUGUGGAAC